UGGCUCGUAGUCGCUGGGUUGCCGCAGGCCUCCCGGGUAACCUACCACCCUUUGUUUAUUACACUUUGUUGCUUUGGCAGGCCUGCCCUCGGGCUGCUGGCUCCGGCCGGCGAGCGCUUGCCAGAGGACCUAAACUCUGUUUGUCUAUACUGUCUGAGUACUAUAUAAUAGUUAAAACUUUCAACAACGGAUCUCUUGGUUCUGGCAUCGAUGAAGAACGCAGCGAAAUGCGAUAAGUAAUGUGAAUUGCAGAAUUCAGUGAAUCAUCGAAUCUUUGAACGCACAUUGCGCCCCCUGGUAUUCCGGGGGGCAUGCCUGUCCGAGCGUCAUUACAACCCUCAAGCUCAGCUUGGUAUUGGGCCCCGCCGACCCGGCGGGCCCUAAAGUCAGUGGCGGUGCCGUCCGGCUCCGAGCGUAGUAAUUCUUCUCGCUCUGGAGGUCCGGUCGUGUGCUCGCCAGCAACCCCCAAUUUUUUUCAGGUUGACCUCGGAUCAGGUAGGGAUACCCGCUGAACUUAAGCAUAUCAAUAAGCGGAGGAA
rnacentral:rRNA from 1 species